GCUAGCAGGAAAAAAAAGAGAGUUAAAAGCCAUGAUGAGUUAAAACUGGGCAAGGCAAAGCAAUUCAGGGAUGAGGAGGGGCAUUUAUAAGCAUUUUAAUGGUACCAUGUGCAAAUGUGAAAUGGCCUGAUAAUCACUGAGAGGAAAGUAACCCAAAACCUUCCACACUGCAGAUACUUAAUUUCCUUUUCAAGCUAUGUUAGCAGCCAGAUAGGGGUUUCAAGUAAAGUAUCUACUGAUCAAAACAGAAGAAGAAUGUCUCAAAACCAGGAGUGCUUAAAAAUCAGCAGAUGGAAGUGUGUGGAUCAGUCAGUCUCCAGAACAUAAAGAAACUGGCAAUAGGGAAAAUCAUGUCUAAAAGAAGAUGAAGAAUACUUGUACUUUCUUGAAGCUUGGGACCCCUGAAAAUUUAAUCAAAAAAUGUCACUGCUACCAAGGCUUGUUCAGCCUUCUAAGGUACUCUUCUGCCUAGCAUGGCUAUGGCUACAAAAUGAAUCACAACUCGCUGUGGGGAAAUUGUUUUUUGACCACUCGGAAUACGUGUCAGUGAACCACUUGUGGUAGUAUUUAGGCAUUCACAACUCUGAACUCAGGAAGCGUCCCUGGGAUCCCACACUGAAUCUCCAUCCAGCUGUCUAGUUGUUUGCCAUCUCUUAUGUGGCCAUCAGCAUGACAGCAUUUUUCAGAUGAACAAAAAAAGUACAUGGAGACCAGUUGGAAGGGCAAAACUUGGUGUGUAUGCCCCUGUGGCCACCAAAGUAACAGUGAAACAUUGUCUCUAUGCUCAUGGCUUCAAUGGAAAUGUGUGUCCUGGUGUUUCUUCUCCUUUCUCUGUUCUUUAAGGAGUCUUCAGGCAUGGCAACACACAGACAGCCACACAUCCACCCACCACCAGUGAAUGAGGGAGCUGGAAGCUCCGGGGCAAGGAGGUGGCCUGAAGACUAAAUAGAAGGUUACUUGAGUGGAAAUAUUUCCUCCUGGACUUCCUCCUUCCAGCUGUGCCACUCUGCUUUGGAGUAUGAUGGAUUCUUCCUUCUCAGCACCUGAGUCCAGCAAGGAGCACCCUCAGGACAGAGCAGACAAGAGAUGGAAAGCCUAAUCUGUUGCCAAGACCCAUUAUCCUUCAACUUGAGUCAAACAGUACAUCUUGCUUAUUGAAUCAGGGACUAGUGUGUGUUUUAUGAAGACAGAAAGGAAAAGGGUGGGAAGAAACUGUGAAUGAUUGUGAAUGACUUGUGACAUCUCUCUUGCUGCUCUAAGUGAAGAGGCUUGGUCAGGACAGCUUCCUAAGCCCUGUGGGUCGAACAUGUAAACAAUCAGCAUGGCAGGAUGGAAACCUGUAUUUGAGCAUAUAGGAGAGCUGAUUCUUGGACUGAGAUCUUCGGUCUGGGCUGGCCCUUUCUCUGCCUCUGGACAGAGUGUGUCAUUGUUCCUCAGCAUGGAGCUGGCUUUGCCUACAGCAUCCACUGUUGACAGCUAAGUUUGAUGCAACAGCGCAGAAAAAGAGCUACCAACAAUGCCAACAUCUUCCCCUGAG